AGCAGUAGCCACGGGAAUACGGAGGGGGCUAGCGUUGUUCGGAAUUACUGGGCGUAAAGCGCACGUAGGCGGCUUGGUAAGUUAGAGGUGAAAGCCUGGAGCUCAACUCCAGAAUUGCCUUUAAGACUGCCGAGCUAGCAGGUGAGAGAGGUAAGUGGAAUUCCGAGUGUAGAGGUGAAAUUCGUAGAUAUUCGGAAGAACACCAGUGGCGAAGGCGGCUUACUGGCUCAUACUGGACGCUGAGGUGCGAAAGCGUGGGGAGCAAACAGGAUUAGAUACCCGCGUAGUCCCUGUCUCUUAUAA
rnacentral:rRNA from 1 species